rnacentral:rRNA from 1 species
AUUAGAGUUUGAUCCUGGCUCAGAGCGAACGCUGGCGGCAGGCUUAACACAUGCAAGUCGAACGCACCUUUCGGGGUGAGUGGCGGACGGGUGAGUAACACGUGGGAACGUGCCCUUAGGUUCGGAAUAACUCAGGGAAACUUGAGCUAAUACCGGAUGUGCCCUUUUGGGGAAAGAUUUAUCGCCUUUGGAGCGGCCCGCGUCGGAUUAGCUAGUUGGUGGGGUAAAGGCCUACCAAGGCUACGAUCCGUAGCUGGUCUGAGAGGAUGGCCAGCCACACUGGGACUGAGACACGGCCCAGACUCCUACGGGAGGCAGCAGUGGGGAAUCUUGCGCAAUGGGCGAAAGCCUGACGCAGCCAUGCCGCGUGGAUGAUGAAGGUCUUAGGAUUGUAAAAUCCUUUCAGCGGGGACGAUAAUGACGGUACCCGCAGAAGAAGCCCCGGCUAACUUCGUGCCAGCAGCCGCGGUAAUACGAAGGGGGCUAGCGUUGCUCGGAUUUACUGGGCGUAAAGGGCGCGUAGGCGGACAGUUAAGUCGGGGGUGAAAGCCCGGGGCUCAACCUCGGAAUUGCCUUCGAUACUGGCUGUCUUGAGUACGGGAGAGGUGUGUGGAACUCCGAGUGUAGAGGUGAGAUUCGUAGAUAUUCGGAAGAACACCCAGUGGCGAAGGCGACCACACUGGCCCGUUANCUGACGCUGAGGCGCGAAAGCGUGGGGAGCAAACAGGAUUAGAUACCCUGGUAGUCCACGCUGUAAACGAUGAGUGCUAGUUGUCGGGCGGCAUGCCGUUCGGUGACGCAGCUAACGCAUUAAGCACUCCGCCUGGGGGAGUACGGUCGCAAGAUUAAAACUCAAAGGAAUU